rnacentral:tRNA from 1 species
AGCCAUAUAGUUUAAUUAAAACUUUAAUUUUGUAAAUUAAAAAUAAUUUUUCAAUUUAUAGCUU